rnacentral:rRNA from 1 species
UACGAAGGGGGCUAGCGUUGUUCGGAAUUACUGGGCGUAAAGCGCACGUAGGCGGACAUUUAAGUCAGGGGUGAAAUCCCGGGGCUCAACCCCGGAACUGCCUUUGAUACUGGGUGUCUCGAGUCCGGAAAAGGUGAGUGGAAUUCCGAGUGUAGAGGUGAAAUUCGUAGAUAUUCGGAGGAACACCAGUGGCGAAGGCGGCUCACUGGUCCGGUACUGACGCUGAGGUGCGAAAGCGUGGGGAGCAAACAGG